rnacentral:rRNA from 1 species
UACGUAGGGGGCUAGCGUUGUCCGGAAUCAUUGGGCGUAAAGAGCGUGUAGGCGGUCCGGUAAGUCCGCUGUGAAAGUCGGGGGCUCAACCCUCGAAUGCCGGUGGAUACUGUCGGGCUAGAGUGCGGAAGAGGCGAGUGGAAUUCCUGGUGUAGCGGUGAAAUGCGCAGAUAUCAGGAGGAACACCGAUUGCGAAGGCAGCUCGCUGGGACGUGACUGACGCUGAGACGCGAAAGCGUGGGGAGCAAACAGG